CGGGCAGCCAUUAGCUACAAUCCAGAAUAUGCUGCAUAUUUAACUAAUCUUAUCAACGAGAUGCACCCAGAUAUUGCUGAAAGAGUUGCGUACUACUAUGAUAAUCUAAGGCCAGCCUCCUACUUAUCUCGUAGACGCGACAACACCGAUAACUUAGGUACCUAC